GAUGAACGCUAGCUACAGGCUUAACACAUGCAAGUCGCGGGGCAGCACGGGGAUUGCUUGCAUUCCCCGAUAGCGACCGGCGCACGAGUGAGUAACGCGUAACCAACCUGCCCUUCACCACGGGCUAACCCGGCGAAGGUCUGACAACUACCGUUAGUUGUCCAUGCACGGCUCCCGAGUUUGACGAGAGGCUUGGGUGUGUGGGAUGGGGAUGCGUGCGGUUAGCCAGACGGCGGGGUAUCGGCCCACCGUGGGUACGAUCGGUAGGGGUUAUGAGAGGGAGGUCCCCCACACUGGAACUGAGACACGGUCCAGACUCCUACGGGAGGCAGCAGUGAGGAAUAUUGGUCAAUGGGCGUAAGCCUGAACCAGCCAAGUAGCGUGCAGGAUGACGGCCCUAUGGGUUGUAAACUGCUUUUAUGCGGGGAUAAAGUGGCCCACGUGUGGGCUUUUGCAGGUACCGCAUGAAUAAGGACCGGCUAAUUCCGUG
rnacentral:rRNA from 1 species